ACGAACGCUGGCGGCAGGCCUAACACAUGCAAGUCGAACGAGAAGCCACCUUCGGGUGGUGGACAGUGGCAGACGGGUGAGUAACGCGUGGGAACGUGCCUUUCGGUUCGGGAUAACCCAGGGAAACUUGGGCUAAUACCGGAUACGCCCUUCGGGGGAAAGAUUCAUUGCCGAAAGAUCGGCCCGCGUCGGAUUAGCUUGUUGGUGGGGUAAUGGCCUACCAAGGCGACGAUCCGUAGCUGGUCUGAGAGGAUGACCAGCCACACUGGGACUGAGACACGGCCCAGACUCCUACGGGAGGCAGCAGUGGGGAAUAUUGGACAAUGGGCGAAAGCCUGAUCCAGCCAUGCCGCGUGGGUGAAGAAGGCCUUAGGGUUGUAAACCCCUUUCAGCGGGGACGAUAAUGACGGUACCCGCAGAAGAAGUCCCGGCUAACUCCGU
rnacentral:rRNA from 1 species